UACGUAGGGUGCGAGCGUUAAUCGGAAUUACUGGGCGUAAAGAGUGCGUAGGCGGUUCGUUAUGUCUGUGGUGAAAGCCCUGGGCUCAACCUAGGAAUGGCCAUGGAAACUGGCGGGCUGGAGUAUGGCAGAGGGGGGUGGAAUUCCGCGUGUAGCAGUGAAAUGCGUAGAGAUGCGGAGGAACACCGAUGGCGAAGGCAGCCCCCUGGGCUACUACUGACGCUGAGGCACGAAAGCGUGGGGAGCAAACAGG
rnacentral:rRNA from 1 species